UACUGCACAAAGUUCCUUGAUUAUUACGCCGGAAUGGGAGUAUAGUUCCUAGCCUAUACUUGCUAAGCAGGGCUGAGCCUGGUCAGUACCUGGAUGGGAGACCUCCUGGGAAAACUAGGUUGCUGCUGGAA
rnacentral:rRNA from 1 species